AGCAAAAAAAAAUAAACAUUACUACUAACAAAAAUAAAAUAAAAUAAAAUAAAAUAAAAAUGAAGCAUUUUCCUACUGUUGCUGUCCUACUCUUCGUAGUGCUUCUUCUCUCAACAAAUGAAGAAAUAGGAGGUGGAAUUAGAAAGACGGAGGCAAAACUCUGUCAAUAUCACAGCGAAACGUUCCAUGGGGUGUGUGUGACCGGUAACAAUUGCAACCGACACUGUCAGCGAGAAAACUUUGAGGGUGGCCGCUGCCACGGCUUUCGCCAUUAUCGUUGCGUCUGCUAUAGAACUUGUUAAUUUCUUUUUAUUAUUUCGAAUGCGUUAUAAAUAAUAAUAAAUAUUGCUUGUAAUGUAAUGUUAUGAUGCUCGAUUUUCUUAGUUCCCGUUCUCGCUUUUCUUGAUCUUCCAAGCUUGAAGCUCGCCUGCUUUAUUCUAUAUGAUGUAACUACUAUAUUAUUAAUAAAUAAGUGAUUUGAACCCUUGGUUCAACACUACUAUAACGA